CUUCAUCCUGGGCUUCAUUCACAGAAUUAUUUUUUUCUAUUUUUAUCAUUAUUUAUUUAUUUAGGUACCAGGGAUUUAACCCAGGGCUGCCUAGCCACUGAGCCACAUUCCCAGACCUUUUUAUUUUUUAUUUUGAGAUAGGGCCUCGCGGUUGCCUUUAAACUUGUGAUCCUCCUGCCUCAGUCUCCUGAGUAGCUGGGAUUACAGGCAUGUGCCACCGCACCAGCCUAUCCACAGCAUCUUUUUUUAAAUUUUUUUUUUUUAGUUGUUGAUGGCCCUUUAUUUUAUUUAUUCACAUGAGGUGCUGAGAAUCGAACCCAGUGCUCACAAAUGCUAGGCAAGUGCUCUACCACUGAGCCACAACCCCAGCCCCUAUCCACAGCAUCCUGAAGUCUGAUUCACCACUCAGAGGCAAGUGAUAGAAAACUCAGAUUGCUUUAAUGGAAAACAUUGAUUCAUGUAAUUGACAUAAUCCAGAGGCAUCUUCAGGCUUGGCUAAAUCCAGAGGCUUAAAUGAUGUUUUCAAGAUUCAGUCUCUUUCCAUAUUAGCUUUAUUCUCAUGUCCCUGCAGAGGCAAGAUGGCUCUCAGUCAUCCCUAACCUCAUUCUCCUAGGCUCAGGUAUGGGAGGAAGCGAAGUCUCUCCCUUCUGAGUGUUCCAGCUUCAAUUCCACUACACACUCUGCUUAGCGGAGCAGGAGUCACGUGACCACCCUUGAGCUAAUACUAGGCCAGAUGGCUAGGCUUAUGCAGAUUGGGCAGGGAUCUGGCAUUCUGAUUGGUCCAUAUAGAGUCAUAGUUCCAAUCCUAAAACUGGUGGGAAGCAGUGAUCCCCU
rnacentral:lncRNA from 1 species